rnacentral:rRNA from 1 species
AACGAACGCUGGCGGCAGGCCUAACACAUGCAAGUCGAGCGAGGACUUCGGUUCUAGCGGCGGACGGGUGAGUAACGCGUGGGAAUGUGCCCUUCUCUACGGAAUAGCCCUGGGAAACUGGGAGUAAUACCGUAUACGCCCUAUUGGGGAAAGAUUUAUCGGAGAAGGAUCAGCCCGCGUUGGAUUAGGUAGUUGGUGGGGUAAUGGCCUACCAAGCCGACGAUCCAUAGCUGGUUUGAGAGGAUGAUCAGCCACACUGGGACUGAGACACGGCCCAGACUCCUACGCGAGGCAGCAGUGGGGAAUCUUAGACAAUGGGGGCAACCCUGAUCCAGCCAUGCCGCGUGAGUGAUGAAAGCCUUAGGGUUGUAAAGCUCUUUCAGCUGGGAAGAUAAUGACGGUACCAGCAGAAGAAGCCCCGGCUAACUCCGUG